rnacentral:rRNA from 1 species
CUUAGGCGUGUGACUGCGUACCUUUUGUAUAAUGGGUCAGCGACUUAUAUUCUGUAGCAAGGUUAACCGAAUAGGGGAGCCGAAGGGAAACCGAGUCUUAACUGGGCGUUAAGUUGCAGGGUAUAGACCCGAAACCCGGUGAUCUAGCCAUGGGCAGGUUGAAGGUUGGGUAACACUAACUGGAGGACCGAACCGACUAAUGUUGAAAAAUUAGCGGAUGACUUGUGGCUGGGGGUGAAAGGCCAAUCAAACCGGGAGAUAGCUGGUUCUCCCCGAAAGCUAUUUAGGUAGCGCCUCGUGAAUUCAUCUCCGGGGGUAGAGCACUGUUUCGGCAAGGGGGUCAUCCCGACUUACCAACCCGAUGCAAACUGCGAAUACCGGAGAAUGUUAUCACGGGAGACACACGGCGGGUGCUAACGUCCGUCGUGAAGAGGGAAACAACCCAGACCGCCAGCUAAGGUCCCAAAGUCAUGGUUAAGUGGGAAACGAUGUGGGAAGGCCCAGACAGCCAGGAUGUUGGCUUAGAAGCAGCCAUCAUUUAAAGAAAGCGUAAUAGCUCACUGGUCGAGUCGGCCUGCGCGGAAGAUGUAACGGGGCUAAACCAUGCACCGAAGCUGCGGCAGCGACGCUUAUGCGUUGUUGGGUAGGGGAGCGUUCUGUAAGCCUGCGAAGGUGUGCUGUGAGGCAUGCUGGAGGUAUCAGAAGUGCGAAUGCUGACAUAAGUAACGAUAAAGCGGGUGAAAAGCCCGCUCGCCGGAAGACCAAGGGUUCCUGUCCAACGUUAAUCGGGGCAGGGUGAGUCGACCCCUAAGGCGAGGCCGAAAGGCGUAGUCGAUGGGAAACAGGUUAAUAUUCCUGUACUUGGUGUUACUGCGAAGGGGGGACGGAGAAGGCUAUGUUGGCCGGGCGACGGUUGUCCCGGUUUAAGCGUGUAGGCUGGUUUUCCAGGCAAAUCCGGAAAAUCAAGGCUGAGGCGUGAUGACGAGGCACUACGGUGCUGAAGCAACAAAUGCCCUGCUUCCAGGAAAAGCCUCUAAGCAUCAGGUAACAUCAAAUCGUACCCCAAACCGACACAGGUGGUCAGGUAGAGAAUACCAAGGCGCUUGAGAGAACUCGGGUGAAGGAACUAGGCAAAAUGGUGCCGUAACUUCGGGAGAAGGCACGCUGAUAUGUAGGUGAAGUCCCUUGCGGAUGGAGCUGAAAUCAGUCGAAGAUACCAGCUGGCUGCAACUGUUUAUUAAAAACACAGCACUGUGCAAACACGAAAGUGGACGUAUACGGUGUGACGCCUGCCCGGUGCCGGAAGGUUAAUUGAUGGGGUCAGCGCAAGCGAAGCUCUUGAUCGAAGCCCCGGUAAACGGCGGCCGUAACUAUAACGGUCCUAAGGUAGCGAAAUUCCUUGUCGGGUAAGUUCCGACCUGCACGAAUGGCGUAAUGAUGGCCAGGCUGUCUCCACCCGAGACUCAGUGAAAUUGAACUCGCUGUGAAGAUGCAGUGUACCCGCGGCAAGACGGAAAGACCCCGUGAACCUUUACUAUAGCUUGACACUGAACAUUGAGCCUUGAUGUGUAGGAUAGGUGGGAGGCUUUGAAGUGUGGACGCCAGUCUGCAUGGAGCCGACCUUGAAAUACCACCCUUUAAUGUUUGAUGUUCUAACGUGGACCCGUAAUCCGGGUUGCGGACAGUGUCUGGUGGGUAGUUUGACUGGGGCGGUCUCCUCCUAAAGAGUAACGGAGGAGCACGAAGGUUGGCUAAUCCUGGUCGGACAUCAGGAGGUUAGUGCAAUGGCAUAAGCCAGCUUGACUGCGAGCGUGACGGCGCGAGCAGGUGCGAAAGCAGGUCAUAGUGAUCCGGUGGUUCUGAAUGGAAGGGCCAUCGCUCAACGGAUAAAAGGUACUCCGGGGAUAACAGGCUGAUACCGCCCAAGAGUUCAUAUCGACGGCGGUGUUUGGCACCUCGAUGUCGGCUCAUCACAUCCUGGGGCUGAAGUAGGUCCCAAGGGUAUGGCUGUUCGCCAUUUAAAGUGGUACGCGAGCUGGGUUUAGAACGUCGUGAGACAGUUCGGUCCCUA